rnacentral:rRNA from 1 species
GACGAACGCUGGCGGCGUGCUUAACACAUGCAAGUCGAACGGAAAGGCCCUGCUUUUGUGGGGUGCUCGAGUGGCGAACGGGUGAGUAACACGUGAGUAACCUGCCCUUGACUUUGGGAUAACUUCAGGAAACUGGGGCUAAUACCGGAUAGGAGCUCCUGCUGCAUGGUGGGGGUUGGAAAGUUUCGGCGGUUGGGGAUGGACUCGCGGCUUAUCAGCCUGUUGGUGGGGUAGUGGCUUACCAAGGCUUUGACGGGUAGCCGGCCUGAGAGGGUGACCGGCCACAUUGGGACUGAGAUACGGCCCAGACUCCUACGGGAGGCAGCAGUGGGGAAUAUUGCACAAUGGGCGGAAGCCUGAUGCAGCAACGCCGCGUGCGGGAUGACGGCCUUCGGGUUGUAAACCGCUUUCGCCUGUGACGAAGCGUGAGUGACGGUAAUGGGUAAAGGAGCACCGGCUAACUACGUG